UACAGAGGGGGCAAGCGUUGUUCGGAAUUACUGGGCGUAAAGGGCUCGUAGGUGGCCAACUAAGUCAGACGUGAAAUCCCUCGGCUUAACCGGGGAACUGCGUCUGAUACUGGAUGGCUUGAGUUUGGGAGAGGGAUGCGGAAUUCCAGGUGUAGCGGUGAAAUGCGUAGAUACCUGGAGGAACACCGGUGGCGAAGGCGGCAUCCUGGACCAACACUGACGCUGAGUGAGCGAAAGCCAGGGGAGCAAACGGG
rnacentral:rRNA from 1 species